rnacentral:lncRNA from 1 species
GGAGGAGUCAAAAGUCAGCUUCAGGCCACGUGCAAGCUGGUCUUCAAGAGUGAUCUCAGUUCCCAGUGUGUUGUCAGUGUUCCACUUCUCCGUGAACAUCAGCCCAUAUUCCACCCAUCUGUAUUUGGUUUCCAAGCUACCACUGACUUUGCUUGUUUCUGAGUUUGCUGAACCUGAGCUUGUAAAUUCCAGUCCAUUCUCAGAUUUUGUUUUCAAAUCAAGUUUUAUUAACCCAAAACCAUAUCCUUUGGUGAACACAUCUCUGGCAGACUUGCCCAGAUCAGCAUAAGCAGGUGGAACAGCCAUUUUCUGGCCCCGCCGCGGCGGCAGCACCGCGCGCCGCACUCCCGCUCCCGGCGCCGCCUCGGGCUCCUGCGGCUCUCCCUGUCCCCGUCCCUGUUCCGGCCCCGGCCCGGCACCUCCCCGGGCUCUGCGGUGACGGCUGCGUGACGGCGGGCGGGGAC